GCACUGCUGAGGAGUCCCAGACUAGGGCGAAACGGCCGUCGAGUGU
rnacentral:hammerhead_ribozyme from 2 species